CGGCCACUAGCUUUUCUAAGACACUUUGUUUGUUUUUAAAUACCAGACCUCUGCUAUGACAAUGUUUGAUUUUGUAAACUUCAGGUCAAAUCAUGUCUUCUGAAAAGUAACUGCAUAUAAAACACGUUGAGACAUUUGCUUAAGAUGUUAAUCCUGGUUUCAAGUAACAGCAUAAGGGAAUUCCUUUGAAUUUUCUUUUAUCAAGCACCCUUUACUAACAUCACAAAGAUGCAUGCAUAUUCCUUCAUUUAGUAUUUAUUGAAUGUCUACUAUGUGCAAGGCACUCACCCAUGGCCUGACAGACCACAUUCAAGUACAAAGAAUCAUUAGAGCCAUUCCAAAUCUAAGUGUCAGAACACUUUGAAGCAGGAUGUAGAGUGGUCAGAAUGACUUGAGGUAAAGCAGAAACACUCAACAACCAGUACAUUAAAAGGUGAUUUUAAUUUUUGACAUUCCUUGGGAUGAUAUUCCUUUAGGAAGAAGUAGACUGUGUUAAAUUCGCAUCCAUGGCACUGCUUCCUGAGGCAGUAAUUCUUCAAAGCCUUUCCUUCUGUGUCAAUACUUUCCACAUUUGUGCGUUUGAAUGGAUCCAUGUGUUUAGCCAUUAUUUUACUAAACACAAAAUCAUUUGCACAAAAAAAAAAAAAAAAAACCUAUUACCAUACUUGUCUGGUCAUACAGAAUUUUAGCACCACAGAAGAGGAAAGAUGUUUGGCCUGAGAGGGCCUACACUCCAGUCUGUGUAACCUAAAAGCAACUUAAGCCUGAUUUCGUCAUUUUAAGGGUGCUGAUGGUGAGCAGGAGUCAGGAAGAAUGGUCUAACAAAAAAGGCUGGCCUAGCUGUGGUUGCCAAGUCUAGUUCUGGGAGUUCCUGGGCACGGAACUACUGCGUGGCCACUGCUUUCUUCAAGACACAGAAUUUGCAGGGCUCUUCCCCUCCCUUGGACAGCCAUCUAAGUGUUGUAACCUUGGGGCAAAGUAAUUUCUCUCCAAGCACAAAUGUGGAUCACUGAACACAGUACUGGAAGCGCCAUUUGCAGGUACAGAUUGCAGUCAUCAUUAAAUGAGCCAGAAGGCAGAUACUGUUUUUAUUUUGUGUGGGGGGAGGGGGAAGCGGCACAGUACUAGCAGGAGAUGAAAUAAAAUGAUUAGGAAACAAUGAGGUUAUAAGAUCACUGUUCUUAUUUGGGUUAAGCAGGUCAUGUUGAGAAGAUGGUUAUUUCUUUCAGAUAAGGAUGCUACAUUAAAGGAAUCGUGUGCAGCAUGAAAAGAUUAGAAUCAAGCUGCACCUAAGAAAAAAAUCCCAAAGUUACUUUCAAAAGUAUGUGUUAUCUGCCAGUCACAGAGGGGAAAAGCACCUAGGGUGAACUCCAAUUUUUUAAUGAGGACCUUGAUCAGGACCACAAAGCCUGAAACAUUUAUUUUAAUGCAGAAACACAGCCCCUAGUUACACUGAUUGCAUUUGGGAAAAUUGGAGGGUUUUUUCUUCCUUAGUUUUUUUUAUUAAAUUACAGGAUAUGGUUUUCGAUUACUAAGUAUUCGAAAUCCUCAUACCAGCAACAGAAAUGAACCACUUCCAAAUUCUAAGACACAAAAGACCAAAGAGAAGCAAAAGCGAUACAAAUUAAUAUGUGCCCCUCUCCUUUCUGCUCUAAGGGAAUCUACAAACCAGUAUCACAUUUAGGAGUCAAAGUGUUAAUUCUUCAGCAUUCCUGACAACUAGAAAGCACAUUCACUGAAGGCUGAAGGUGAGGGAGUGGAUGGUUUAACUUUAAUAUCUGAAGAAUGGCGCCAAUAGAGGAAAGAAAACCAUCCAAUCUCAGUAAGGAUUAAUGCAAAUCUGGCUAGAAAAAGCCACCAGGUAAUCCAAGGGUUCACUGUGGAAGAACUCAUGAAAAGUACUCUGAAGUAUACACAACAGGUCUAAACAUCUCCCUUGUCGUAAGUAGUUGUGUAAAAUUCAAGAUAAAGAUUUAGUCUCAUCUUUUAAUGUCAGUUUUUUCCCCCAUGUUAAAGGGAAUGAGGAGGAGUCCUCUUUUAUUCCCCCACAAGAAAAAGGGAGCCACAUUAAUAUGUGUAUAUUCCCAUAACUCUAACGUAAGUGCGGAUCUUCAAAGCCUAGGGAUUUUUCCGUAAAAGAGAGUGGGCCGUUCUGGUUACCCUUUUAUUAGAAGGGUAUUCCACCACAGAGAGCCGGAGGUUUUCCAGAUGUGUGUAAGAGAGCAGGUGCGCAAGGCAAGCAAAUGAGCGCAAACAGUAUUAUGGAAAACAUUUGAGAAGUUAGCUCCAUGAGGACUGUGGGCUCCACAAGAGGACUCGACUGGGUAGCCUGGUCUGACACAGGAACGUGAAAGCAGAGUAUUGCUUCAAAGCUGGAAACCUUCCAUAGGAGCCUCACACUGCUGGAAGAUGUACUGCUGCUGGUUAAGGUCAACCUGGGGUGCAAUGCUGCUGUCUUCAUCUUCGGUCCCGAAGUAAUGCUCAAUAAGAUCAAAGGCCUUUUGGUAGAUCUCCUGGUUUUCAUGACUCUGUAAGAACUCAAUUUUAUCCAGACCUAAAAUGAAGAAUAAAGGAAAAUCUUUAUUGAAAACUUCAAUAAAUAUUGG
rnacentral:lncRNA from 1 species